UACGAAGGUCCCAAGGGUUGUUCGGAAUCACUGGGCGUAAAGGGAGCGUAGGCGGCGCGGUAAGUCGGAUGUGAAGUCCCGGGGCUCAACCCCGGAACUGCAUCUGAUACUGCCGUGCUAGAGUAAUGGAGGGGUAGCUGGAAUUAUCGGUGUAGCAGUGAAAUGCGUAGAUAUCGAUAGGAACACUCGUGGCGAAAGCGAGCUACUGGACAUUUACUGCCGCUGAGGCUCGAAGGCUAGGGGAGCGAAAUGG
rnacentral:rRNA from 1 species